UCCGUUUGAUCCCGCCAGAGGUCAUUGCUAUUGGGGUCCGAUUUAGCCAUGCUAGUUGCACGAGUUCACACUCGUAGCGAAAAGCUCAGUAACACGUGGCCAAACUACCCUACAGAGAACGAUAACCUCGGGAAACUGAGGCUAAUAGUUCAUACGGGAGUCAUGCUUGAAUGCCGACUCCCCGAAACGCUCCGGCGCUGUAGGAUGUGGCUGCGGCCGAUUAGGUAGACGGUGGGGUAACGGCCCACCGUGCCAAUAAUCGGUACGGGUUGUGAGAGCAAGAACCCGGAGACGGAAUCUGAGACAAGAUUCCGGGCCCUACGGGGCGCAGCAGGCGCGAAACCUUUACACUGCACGCAAGUGCGAUAAGGGGACCCCAAGUGCGAGGGCAUAUAGUCCUCGCUUUUCACGACUGUAAGGCGGUCGUGGAAUAAGAGCUGGGCAAGACCGGUGCCAGCCGCCGCGGUAAUACCGGCAGCUCAAGUGAUGACCGAUAUUAUUGGGCCUAAAGCGUCCGUAGCCGGCCACGAAGGUUCAUCGGGAAAUCCGCCAGCUCAACUGGCGGGCGUCCGGUGAAAACCACGUGGCUUGGGACCGGAAGGCUCGAGGGGUACGUCUGGGGUAGGAGUGAAAUCCUGUAAUCCUGGACGGACCACCGAUGGCGAAAGCACCUCGAGAAGACGGACCCGACGGUGAGGGACGAAAGCUAGGGUCUCGAACCGGAUUAGAUACCCGGGUAGUCCUAGCUGUAAACGAUGCUCGCUAGGUGUGGCACAGGCUACGAGCCUGUGCUGUGCCGUAGGGAAGCCGUGAAGCGAGCCGCCUGGGAAGUACGUCCGCAAGGAUGAAACUUAAAGGAAUUGGCGGGGGAGCACUACAACCGGAGGAGCCUGCGGUUUAAUUGGACUCAACGCCGGACAUCUCACCAGCUCCGACUACAGUAAUGACGGUCAGGUUGAUGACCUUACCACGACGCUGUAGAGAGGAGGUGCAUGGCCGCCGUCAGCUCGUACCGUGAGGCGUCCUGUUAAGUCAGGCAACGAGCGAGACCCA
rnacentral:rRNA from 1 species